rnacentral:rRNA from 1 species
GACGAACGCUGGCGGCGUGCCUAAUACAUGCAAGUAGAACGCUGAAGAGAGGAGCUUGCUCUUCUUGGAUGAGUUGCGAACGGGUGAGUAACGCGUAGGUAACCUGCCUUGUAGCGGGGGAUAACUAUUGGAAACGAUAGCUAAUACCGCAUAACAAUGGAUGACACAUGUCAUUUAUUUGAAAGGGGCAAUUGCUCCACUACAAGAUGGACCUGCGUUGUAUUAGCUAGUAGGUGAGGUAAUGGCCCACCUAGGCGACGAUACAUAGCCGACCUGAGAGGGUGAUCGGCCACACUGGGACUGAGACACGGCCCAGACUCCUACGGGAGGCAGCAGUAGGGAAUCUUCGGCAAUGGGGGCAACCCUGACCGAGCAACGCCGCGUGAGUGAAGAAGGUUUUCGGAUCGGAAAGCUCUGUUGUAAGUCAAGAACGGGUGUGAGAGUGGAAAGUUCACACUGUGACGGUAGCUUACCAGAAAGGGACGGCUAACUACGUG